rnacentral:rRNA from 1 species
AGUUGCGGCUAUACCACUUUGCCAUUGCACAAUCUCAUCAGAUCUCGGAAUUUAAGCAGGAUUGGGCCUGGUUAGUACUUGGAUGGGAGACCAUUGAUUUAAGGAAGAUGCUUCAACCA